GACUAUGGCAAUUAGAAAACCUCCCCUUUGAAUAUCAGGAAGGAGGUAGAGUAAGAGUGAAAAUGAAAGUGGGAGAGGCUACCUCCCCCCCCCUUCCUACCCUAGGACAUUGUAGAAGAAAUUACAAGACGGUGAUUUAUCUCCUUUCAGUUUGGAGAAAUGCUGGGAGGAGAGUAGUGACCUAAAGCAAAAGAAAGGAGAAAUUUGUAAGGGGCUCCCAUCUGAGUGUAUCCCCCAUGGAAUUGAUGGAUCACAGGGUGUUCCAAUGGGCAUUCCCUUUGGACAGCAGGUCAUAAAAGGCAAAAAGGAAAAGCCGGUUCCUCCAGCAGUCAGUAGCACUUGCAACUUGAAUUGAGGACCUCAGUUCUAAUCUGCUCACUGAGGCUU